rnacentral:rRNA from 1 species
GGGUUGUGAGGUUAAGCGACUAAGCGUACACGGUGGAUGCCCUGGCAGUCAGAGGCGAUGAAGGGCGUGCUAAUCUGCGAUAAGCGCCGGUAAGGUGAUAUGAACCGUUAUAACCGGCGAUACCCGAAUGGGGAAACCCAGUGUGAUUCGUCACACUAUCAUUAACUGAAUCCAUAGGUUAAUGAGGCGAACCGGGGGAACUGAAACAUCUAAGUACCCCGAGGAAAAGAAAUCAACCGAGAUUCCCCCAGUAGCGGCGAGCGAACGGGGAGGAGCCCAGAGCCUGAAUCAGCAUGUGUGUUAGUGGAAGCGUCUGGAAAGGCGCGCGAUACAGGGUGACAGCCCCGUACACAAAAGCGCAUGUGCUGUGAGCUCGAUGAGUAGGGCGGGACACGUGGUAUCCUGUCUGAAUAUGGGGGGACCAUCCUCCAAGGCUAAAUACUCCUGACUGACCGAUAGUGAACCAGUACCGUGAGGGAAAGGCGAAAAGAACCCCGGCGAGGGGAGUGAAAAAGAACCUGAAACCGUGUACGUACAAGCAGUGGGAGCNNGUGACUGCGUACCUUUUGUAUAAUGGGUCAGCGACUUAUAUUCUGUAGCAAGGUUAACCGAAUAGGGGAGCCGGAGGGAAACCGAGUCUUAAUUGGGCGUUAAGUUGCAGGGUAUAGACCCGAAACCCGGUGAUCUAGCCAUGGGCAGGUUGAAGGUUGGGUAACACUAACUGGAGGACCGAACCGACUAAUGUUGAAAAAUUAGCGGAUGACCUGUGGCUGGGGGUGAAAGGCCAAUCAAACCGGGAGAUAGCUGGUUCUCCCCGAAAGCUAUUUAGGUAGCGCCUCGUGAAUUCAUCUCCGGGGGUAGAGCACUGUUUCGGCUAGGGGGCCAUCCCGGCUUACCAACCCGAUGCAAACUGCGAAUACCGGAGAAUGUUAUCACGGGAGACACACGGCGGGUGCUAACGUCCGUCGUGAAGAGGGAAACAACCCAGACCGCCAGCUAAGGUCCCAAAGUCAUGGUUAAGUGGGAAACGAUGUGGGAAGGCCCAGACAGCCAGGAUGUUGGCUUAGAAGCAGCCAUCAUUUAAAGAAAGCGUAAUAGCUCACUGGUCGAGUCGGCCUGCGCGGAAGAUGUAACGGGGCUAAACCAUGCACCGAAGCUGCGGCAGCGACACUGUGUGUUGUUGGGUAGGGGAGCGUUCUGUAAGCCUGCGAAGGUGGCCUGUGAGGGUUGCUGGAGGUAUCAGAAGUGCGAAUGCUGACAUAAGUAACGAUAAAGCGGGUGAAAAGCCCGCUCGCCGGAAGACCAAGGGUUCCUGUCCAACGUUAAUCGGGGCAGGGUGAGUCGACCCCUAAGGCGAGGCCGAAAGGCGUAGUCGAUGGGAAACGGGUUAAUAUUCCCGUACUUGGUGUUACUGCGAAGGGGGGACGGAGAAGGCUAUGUUGGCCGGGCGACGGUUGUCCCGGUUUAAGCGUGUAGGUGUGUGUUCCAGGUAAAUCCGGUUCACUUUAACACUGAGGCGUGACGACGAGGCACUACGGUGCUGAAGCAACAAAUGCCCUGCUUCCAGGAAAAGCCUCUAAGCAUCAGGUAACAUCAAAUCGUACCCCAAACCGACACAGGUGGUCAGGUAGAGAAUACCAAGGCGCUUGAGAGAACUCGGGUGAAGGAACUAGGCAAAAUGGUGCCGUAACUUCGGGAGAAGGCACGCUGACACGUAGGUGAAGUGAUUUACUCAUGGAGCUGAAGUCAGUCGAAGAUACCAGCUGGCUGCAACUGUUUAUUAAAAACACAGCACUGUGCAAACACGAAAGUGGACGUAUACGGUGUGACGCCUGCCCGGUGCCGGAAGGUUAAUUGAUGGGGUCAGCGCAAGCGAAGCUCCUGAUCGAAGCCCCGGUAAACGGCGGCCGUAACUAUAACGGUCCUAAGGUAGCGAAAUUCCUUGUCGGGUAAGUUCCGACCUGCACGAAUGGCGUAAUGAUGGCCAGGCUGUCUCCACCCGAGACUCAGUGAAAUUGAACUCGCUGUGAAGAUGCAGUGUACCCGCGGCAAGACGGAAAGACCCCGUGAACCUUUACUAUAGCUUGACACUGAACAUUGAGCCUUGAUGUGUAGGAUAGGUGGGAGGCUUUGAAGUGUGGACGCCAGUCUGCAUGGAGCCGACCUUGAAAUACCACCCUUUAAUGUUUGAUGUUCUAACGUGGACCCGUUACCCGGGUUGCGGACAGUGUCUGGUGGGUAGUUUGACUGGGGCGGUCUCCUCCUAAAGAGUAACGGAGGAGCACGAAGGUUGGCUAAUCCUGGUCGGACAUCAGGAGGUUAGUGCAAUGGCAUAAGCCAGCUUGACUGCGAGCGUGACGGCGCGAGCAGGUGCGAAAGCAGGUCAUAGUGAUCCGGUGGUUCUGAAUGGAAGGGCCAUCGCUCAACGGAUAAAAGGUACUCCGGGGAUAACAGGCUGAUACCGCCCAAGAGUUCAUAUCGACGGCGGUGUUUGGCACCUCGAUGUCGGCUCAUCACAUCCUGGGGCUGAAGUAGGUCCCAAGGGUAUGGCUGUUCGCCAUUUAAAGUGGUACGCGAGCUGGGUUUAGAACGUCGUGAGACAGUUCGGUCCCUAUCUGCCGUGGGCGCUGGAGAACUGAGGGGGGCUGCUCCUAGUACGAGAGGACCGGAGUGGACGCAUCACUGGUGUUCGGGUUGUCAUGCCAAUGGCACUGCCCGGUAGCUAAAUGCGGAAGAGAUAAGUGCUGAAAGCAUCUAAGCACGAAACUUGCCCCGAGAUGAGUUCUCCCUGAGACUUAGAGUCUCCUGAAGGAACGUUGAAGACGACGACGUUGAUAGGCCGGGUGUGUAAGCGCAGCGAUGCGUUGAGCUAACCGGUACUAAUGAACCGUGAGGCUUAACCUUACAACGCCGAAG